rnacentral:rRNA from 1 species
GAUGAACGCUGGCGGCGUGCCUAAUACAUGCAAGUCGAGCGAACAGAUGAGGAGCUUGCUCCUCUGACGUUAGCGGCGGACGGGUGAGUAACACGUGGAUAACCUACCUAUAAGACUGGGAUGACUUCGGGAAACCGGAGCUAAUACCGGAUAAUAUAUUGAACCGCAUGGUUCAAUAGUGAAAGACGGUUUUGCUGUCACUUAUAGAUGGAUCCGCGCCGCAUUAGCUAGUUGGUAAGGUAACGGCUUACCAAGGCAACGAUGCGUAGCCGACCUGAGAGGGUGAUCGGCCACACUGGAACUGAGACACGGUCCAGACUCCUACGGGAGGCAGCAGUAGGGAAUCUUCCGCAAUGGGCGUAAGCUUGACGGAGCAACGCCGCGUGAGUGAUGAAGGUCUUCGGAUCGUAAAACUCUGUUAUUAGGGAAGAACAAAUGUGUAAGUAACUAUGCACGUCUUGACGGUACCUAAUCAGAAAGCCACGGCUAACUACGUG